GGAUUGCCUUGAGUACACCCUCACAGCGCUGCUCGUGGGGCAAGCAUGCCUGGGAGAUGACCUGGGGCACCACGCCCUGCCUAUCUCAGACAAGGAACUCCAGGCAGCAGUGGCGAAGCUAAGCAGCUCCAUCCUUAAGGGGCGGAGGCCGGCUCAUAUUUGCCUAUUAGGGCCGUGGGACGCCGAGGUUCUGCUGGGUCCCUCCUGGAAAUAGAUCCUUCCCAGCCAGCACCCGAAGUCAGCAGCAGAGGGCAAAGCACCUGGGCUUUAUUUAGCUCCAAGCUCCACGAUCCUCCUGGGACUGAGAUAUCUUUGUCAUUUACCUGGGAUUUACAGGGACCAAAAAGCUGGACAUCAUUCACCACUGGGAACAGCAUAUUGUUCCUGGAAGAGGCAAAAGCCUAGGGCUUCAAGAUGCCGGGGCUUUAAGAAACCAAGGCAUGACCUCAAGUGAUUUGCCGGAGGUGGCCUCGGUGGCAGCAGUCAUUGAAGAAAGGAAGACAGCUGCCCAGCCAGUCUGACAGACCAUACACAGACAGCCCUGUUCACAGGGAGGUAAGUGUCUCUGCACAACCCGCGGCCACCACGGCGGCUUCAGGAAAGGCUCCCACAUUCCCAGAGCCUCUGCUGCGGCUCACUGACAAAUCAGCCCCUCAAUAAUCUUAUUGUAUGUUUUCAAAAUAAUUCUCAGUAAUGCCCCAAGAA
rnacentral:lncRNA from 1 species